rnacentral:piRNA from 1 species
UCCAUAAUUAUAGGCUCUGUGAAAACUCA